rnacentral:lncRNA from 1 species
CAUUGCUUUGGUAUUGGGUCACCUGCUUGCAUUAAGGGACGUUGUGAGAAAUUGGUGCUUGUACAAAGGUUGUUACUGUCUCCUGAGCUCUUGCAAAGACAAAGUUUGCAACAACCAACGCUAUUGCUUCUGAGGACCUGGAGGAGAAAUUCUUCUCAGGUGUCAGCCAUAGAAGAGGCAGGCCACCUGCUAAAUGACUCACCUGCAUUUAUCUUACUGCUGGUGGGAAUUUUGUAGCUAACCCUGUUCCUCUCUUUGCUUUGUGAGCUGGAAGCUUGGGGCCAAGUUCGCGAGCCACCUCUGUCAGCAAUGAACUCUCCAGCUUCAUUUUUUUCCUACUUAAAAUUUUCAUUUUCCUGUUUCCCUCAACAACUUAGUCCAGCAUCUUGAAUUACUUGCAUUUUUGGAAGUUACAUCAAAUCCUUGGUGGACUGAGGCAAAAUAUAAAGGAAAUAUGGAGAAAACAGUUCCCUCUUUGGUUGGAUGCACUUGGUUGCCACCAGUUCCAGUGACAGCUUCAGGGCCCAUUCCAACUGCUUCUUACUAGUGAAUGUCAGCUCUGUAAAAGCAAGGACUUUCCUUUGAUCACUUCAUCUCCAGCACCAAGAACAGUGCCUGGCAUGUUGAAGGCAUUCGAUAAAUAUUGUUGAAUUGAUGAAUAAAUGCAUUUUUAUGAAUUAUUCCACACAUUUAUGAAUUUUUCAGUAAUUAUUCAAUACAGUGAAUGUUAUACAAUAAAAAAUAGAUCUAUUAUCCUGAUAU